GCAGAGCAGAGUGCCGCGGCACCCAGCUCGGGCGGGGCGGCGACGGCUUCUCUCGGGCCGCCGCAGGAUCGAAGUUAAGGCGGCGCCCAUCCCACCACCCCUCGCCCGCCCCGCAUCUCCCGAUCGCCCCCGCGCACCUCCGCGCCGGGCCGCCGGUGCGUAACGCCCUGGGGAAGAAGCGCCCCCGGGCACCCCCAGGGCGCGCCGCCUUGGCCGUGUCGCCCCCACCCAAGGGAGACCCCGGGGGGACGGGGGGAAAAGCCUUGUUCCCCCUAAAUUCCACGACUCCGAUGCCACACACGCAGAACCCAACACAAUGCCACGCGCGAUGGCGUUACAAGAGGAGUUGGGUGGCGUACGGUGUUUGGGGUAGCGAGCCGGUC
rnacentral:lncRNA from 10 species